AAAAAUUCAAAUCUAUUACGUAUAACAAACAAAUAAGAGAAAUGAAUUUCGAAGACCUCGUGGAAGAAAUGGAUUCCGAAGUUGAAUGCUACCAACCGUUGAGCCCCCAUUGAGAUAAAGUGUUUAAAAAAAUAUCUUACAACCUCGUUUGCGCUCCUCGAGUAGAACCAUCACAAAUUGUGGUACCGUCACCAUCUUCUGGCGGCCAUGCAGAUAUAAUCCAGAAGCUGGAUGCCAUUGAGACCCGACUCACUGCCAUUAAAAAGUCCCUAAAAGACAAAAUGCUAGAAAAGGCCGAGGUACAGGCACAAAGCAAAUUAUUGCGCGAAUACCGCGUCAUAGCGACAAAGAUGCAUCAUUCGAUUAUCCGCAUCACCCGUUACUUGGAGGACGAACAUUAUGUGGAGCUCGCUUCGAAUCUGCCUAUGUCAUCGGAAGAGCACGUAUUAGUUUUAAGUUGCAAAUAUUAGUUCAAAGUUGCACAUAUUAGUUUUAUGUUGUAAAUAUUAGUUUUAAGUUAUACAUAUAAAUUAGUUUUAAGUUGCAUAUAUUAGUUUUAAGUUGUAUAUAUUAGUUCUAAGUUGAAGUUUCUAGUUUUAUGUAAUAAUAAUA